GGGGGAUAAGUUGAAAAUAUUGAAUUUGCGAAUCUGUGAAUGUGCAAAUGCCCAAAUGUGAACAUGCGAGUUCAGUCAGUCGCCAGCGCCAUCGGUGAUGUUUUUCUCGACACGCGCGGCACUUCAACGCAUUCCAUCAAUUUCCCGGGAGGAGUGUCCUGCUCUUUAUCUCUUCCAUCUGGUAAAUGACGGGGACACAACGGGCCGGCGUUAAUCGCCACAUUUGCGGCAAUGAUGGCGCAAAGAGGCGUCUAAUGAGACGGGUCAGCCGAGGGCCGCCGGUUCCCGGCCGCUGAAAGCGCGCGGCGCUUUUGUCCCGCCGCCCGUCAAGUACGGCAACAGCAAUUUGCGGCUCUAUGAUCACGUUGUUAGUGUUCGGAACCUCUGACUGACUUUUUUUUUUUUUUGUGAAU